CUGGAGCUCAAGGACACCUGUCAUCAUCAUUGACCUCCAGCUUGAGCGCCGCUCUGGAAUAUUAGGAGGGUGUUCUUAAUGUUUUGUACACUGUGUAUAUAUACAAAAGUAUGUGGACACCCCUUCAAAUUAGUGGGGGUUUGGCUAUUUCAGCCACACCCUUUGCUGACAGGUAUAUAAAAUUGAGCAGACUGCCAUGCAAUCUCCAUAGACAAACAUUGGCAGGAGAAUGGCCCGUGCUGAAGAGCUCAGUGACUUUCAACGUGGCACCAUCAUAGGAUGCCACCUUUCCAACAAGUCAGUUGGUCAAAUUUCUGCCCUGCUAGAGCUUCCUCGGUCAACUGUAAGUGCUGUUGUGAAGUGGAAACGUUUAGGAGCAACAACGGCUCAGCCGCCAAGUGGUAGGCAACACAAGCGCACAGAAUGGGACCGCUGAGUGCUGAAGCGCAUAGUGUGUAAAAAUCGUCUGUCCUCAGUUGCAACACUCACUACCAAGUUCCAAACUACCUCUGGAAACAACGCCAGCACAAUAACUGUUCGUCAGAAGCUUCAUGAAAUGGGUUUCCAUGGCCAAGCAGCCGCACACAAGCCUAACACAAACCAUGUGCAAUGCCUAGCGUUGGCUGGAGUGGUGUAAAUCCCGCCACCAUUGGACUCUGGAGCAGUGGAAAUGCGUUCUCUGGAGUGAUUUAUCAUGCUUCACCAUCUGGCAGUCCGAGAGACGAAUCUGGGUUUGGCGGAUGUCAGGAGAACACUACCUGCCCCAAUGCACAGUGCCAACUGUAAAGUUUGGUGGAGGAGGAAUAAUGGUCUUGGGCUGCUUUUCAUGGUUCGGGCUUGACCCCUUAGCUCCAGUGAAGGGACAUCUUAACACUACAGCAUACAAUGACAUUCUAAGCGAUUCAAUGCUUCCAACUUUGUGGCAACAGUUUGGGGAAGGCUCUUUCCUGUUUCAGCAUGACGAUGCCCCUGUGCACAAAGCAAGGUCCAUACUGACCUCAACCCCAUCGAACACCUUUGGAAUGAAUUGGAACACCGACUGCGAGCCAGGCCUAAUCGCCCAACAUCAGUGACCGACCUCAUUAAUGCUCUUGUGGUUGAAUGGAAGCAAGUGCCCGUAGAAAUGUUCCAACAUCUAGUGGAAAGCCUUCCCAGAAGAGUGGAGGCUGUUAUAGCAGCUAAGGGGGGGACCAACUCCAUAUUAAUUCUCAUGAUUUUGGAAUUAGAUGUUCGAUGUGCAGGUGUCCACAUACUUUUGGUAAUGCAGUGUAUAUUCAAAGAGUUAUAUUUUUAGUCUCACAGUUAGCCUGUAAUGGCAACUAUAUACACUCUUCAGCUUGAAAUAUUAUUGUAAAGUCUCAGGUAAAUACUAAUCUGGGUCCUGGAGAGCUACAAGGUGUGCAGGCUUGUUUCAGCCCAGUACUAAUGCACCUACUACCUAAGACAGUAAGACUAAUGUUUUCCCCAGUAGGGGUUGUGGCCUGGAUGCAUUACAUUUUUAAGAACGCUAUGACUACAAUGGCAGAGGUCUUCUCCUGAGUUACUGUACUCAUGGCUCCCGUUCCUGAGCUGCUGCUGGCCACUCUGGAUGAUCUGCUCAAAACAGAGCUGAAUAGAUUCUAGUGGUUCCUGAUAGGUUAAGAAGGCGUUUCUUGCAUCACAAAAGGCCAGCUGGAGAAUACUAACAGAUAGACUAUGGUGGAUAAGAUGGUGGAGACCAAGGUAUUGUGGGAGCUGUGAAGAUCUCACUGGAGAUCCUGAAGAAGAUUAACCAGAACCAGCUGGUUGAACCAGUAAAGAAUGAGUACGAUGAGGGUGAGACAACAGAACCAGCAGGUUAGAGGAUUAUAAAACAUUUAAGAUGACAACUGCACAAACAAAUAACAGGACACUGAUUUUUCAGACAAGAUAACCAAACAAGAACAUUUGAUUUUAACAAGCUGUCUUUCUCUUUCUCUCUCAGCCCAGUGUGCUUCAGAGGUUCUAGAUGUCAGAGGUAAGCCGUAUGAAUUAACACAACAGCACCCAGAAGGCAGAAUUUGACAGGUGACGCCAUUAUGAUACCAUAUUAUGGUUGUAAACUUCUGGUUCAGAAGACAUCAUAUAACCAGAUAUCAACCAGGUAAAGAUGUAUUUUUAAAAUGUAUUUUUUCAUGACAACAUCAAGACAUCAUGGGAAAGAAGUCAUAUUUUGGUUGUUAUCUGGUUAGAUAACCAGAUAAUUUUCUGUUGGCUAAAAAUAUGUUUUAAAAACAACCUGACCAAAACACAUAAUAAUGAUAUUAUUGCAAGGCCCUAUUAUUGCACUCUGACUAAUCCAAUCCAGAUACACACAAACACAUACAAUAUAGUAAUCAUGACCGUAAAAUAAAGAAUACACUUUGAAUUUCCUUGCAGACAAAGACAAACUGAAAGUAUAAAUAAGUAUGGUUGUAUAUGAGGGGACAUCAAAGAAAGGGGAAUCUGUCUAAAUCUAUCUGAACCAGAUAUACAGUGAUCUCCAUGUGAUUGAGGGGGGCAGGUGAGGGGUCAGAGAUGAGCAUAGGUCAUACAUCUGGAAUCCAGAACACCAGCCACAGGAGAGACCGCUAUUGAAGCCAGCCAAUGUUCAAGCCCAUGUGAAAGACUGUCUCUGUUCAGAAGUUUAUUCACGACUGGGCAGAGGGAAAAGAUCUUUCCACAAAAUAAAUCAUUAUGUAGGGGAAAACAACUGUGAUUGAACUGCUUCAUGAAUUCUUCCCUAAAAUGAAACCAAUCAAGACUAUGACGAUCAUUUCUAAAGUUCUGUUCAUAUUUGAUCGUCUGGAUGAGUGUCGACUCUCUCUGUACUUGGAAUCACGUGACCCUUGAAGAAGAUGGCCGCAUGAACUGAGAGCUCCGCACAAGUCAUUUCCAAUUCUUAAUCUUACCUCCACUUCAAGUUAAACCCCAUUAGCUUUAGUAAAAAAAAACACGGCGGCUACAAAAGGUGACAUUACAUGUGACAUUUUUACCUGGACUCAAGCAAUAUCCGCGGAAAAAGCCUCCAAGAAACAGCUAGCUUCAGAAAAAGCUAGCGUCUCUGUCGAAGACAUCCUUUCUUAGCUUAGAUCCCAGCGUACAGAACUCAACAUCAAACUAGAUGGCAUUAACUCUCAGAUCAGUGGGAUAGGGGGCAAGGCGACAACCCUGGAAAAUGCCUUUCUUGGCAUCAACAACAGGAUAACCAUCAACGUGGGGCGCAUGGAUGAGGCAGAGGGGUGAAUCCUAUCCAUGGAAAACUCAAUGGUGCAUGCCAUGGAAACAACAGCAUCUGGCAGACGCCAUGGAAACAAUAGCAUCUGCUACCAUGGAACCUACAGCAUCUGCUGAAAAGAAAAUAGAGCAUCUAGAAGAGAAAACAGAGGACCUGGAAAAUAGACGGUGAAGGAAUAACUGUGUUCUAUUAAACCUGACCGUAAAAGAAGAGAGAAACAUACCACUGAUCCGCUACCUGCAAGACAAACUCCGAGUGGAUCUCGAGAGAGCUAGUACUGAGGCCCUCACCAGCAGCCAGACAACCACCGCGCCCAAUCAACAUACAUUUCCUGAGAUUCCCUGACAAGGAACUAGUCCUACAGACGGCGAAAAUCAAUACCAUUAAAGUGGGAAACUCCAAACUCACUUUACACCAGGACCUGUCAGCUGGAAUACGCAGAGAGUUUGACGAGGUGAAGAAAUACUUCAAUGACCGAGGCAUCUUCAGGGGAUUCAAAUACCAAAACGAGCUCAGGAUUCUUCACCAAGGAGCCCUGCGACACUUCAAAACUCCCGAAGAGGCAAAACGUUUUUUGAAGGACAAUCCUGGCCACUGAGAAAAGGACCAACGACUAAAAGUGAUUACUGUUAUUAUUAAUGGAGGUGUCGCCCAUCUCCCCCAUUCUUCCCUGUGUAUUUAUACCUGUGUUCUCUGUUUGUCUGUUGCCAGUUCGUCUUGUUUGUCAAGCCAACCAUGCGUUUUUGUGUUAGCUCCUGCUUUUCCCCAGUCUCUCUUUUCUCGUCCUCCUGGUUUUUGAACCUUGCCUGUCCUGGCCCUGUACCCACCCGCCUGACCACUCUGCCUGCCCCUGACCCUGAGCCUGCCUGCCGUUCUGUACCUUUGCCCCACCUCUGGAUUACCGACCUCUGCCUGACCUGACCCUGAGCCUGCCUGCCGUCCUGUACCUUUGCCCCUGUUGCUGUAAUAAACAUUGUUACUUCGACACGGUCUGCAUCUGGGUCUUACCUUGAUACCUGAUAUAUACCCAGAGAUUACUUGCACUAGAGUUCGAUUACUGUUCGAUGAUAUUGACUAGUACCUUAAAUCUACUGACAUGGAACUGCCAUGGACUAGGUCAUGUAAUAAAACGGUAUAAAAAGUGCUCUCAAAAAGGAAAAAGUAGACAUUGUGCUAUUACAAGAGGUACACCUCUGUGGUGCUGAACAUGCUAAACUCCACAGAGCUUGGGUGGGACAGGUGUAUUUCUAAUCUUUCAAAUCAAACAGUAGAGGCACAGCCAUACUUAUCCAUAAGCAUGUUCCAUUCAUAAUUGACAAAAACAUAUCUGAUCCGGAGGAGAGAUUUAUUCUGGGUCAAUGUAUGGACAACCAAUUCAUAUCUUAAAUAUACAUGCCCCUAACACUGAUACUCCUGCUUUCAUGUCGAAAAUAAAAACCCUGUUCAAUGA